UUCUCAGUGGCAGUGGCUUUCCUUCCUUGACCUUAAGGUGUCCACUUCCCGAGCCCACCCCCUGGGUCACCGUGAGGCCAUGAUUGUGAGUCAACUCGUGAGGCCUCCUGUUGCUGGCCGCCGCUUUCGUGUGAUCUUAGCGGUGCCCUGGGUCCCUCCAACCUGACGGCGGAAGGCUGCGAUUUGGAGGCUGUCUUGCUUGGGUGCUGGAAGCAGCCAGGCAGGAGGCUAGGGGUGGACCGAAGAAAUCCAGAGGGCGCAGCGUGUUUGAAAAUCUGGCACCUUGGUUGGUGGUACACAGGUGAAGCUUGUGGAACAAAUGGAUCUCCUGUGGCUGGAAUGCAAGGACAUUCAAAAUCUGGCCCCAACCUGUCUUUCCAGCUUGAUCUUUGAAUUGAACUCAUGCUUGUCAGGCAGGGGCUGUGCAGCUGAGCUAUAUCCCCAGCGAGAAAGACAUCUUAUCAUACUGAUGAUCUCCAGACUAAAGUUGCUCAUGGUGACGGACUUUUUCAGGUUUAUGUUUAUGUGAUUGUUAUAUGAUUGUAUCAUGAUAGUUAGAUGUGCCUACACCUUAUACAGCUGUGACAGUGUCAUUAUAAUGAGCAGGGAUUAGGCAUUAAUAAUCUGUAAAGUGCAUCUAUAAACAAGUUCAUUCUGCUUAAUAGCACUCUA